UACGAGGGGGGCGAGCGUUUGUUCGGAAUUAUUGGGCGUAAAGGGUGCGUAGGCGGUUUGGUAAGUCUGAUGUGAAAUCUAUGGGCUCAACUCAUAGUCUGCAUCGGAAACUGCCGGGCUUGAGUGUGGGAGAGGUGAGUGGAAUUCCUGGUGUAGCGGUGAAAUGCGUAGAUAUCAGGAGGAACACCUGUGGCGAAAAGCGGCUCACUGGACCAUAACUGACGCUGAUGCACGAAAGCUAGGGGGAGCAAACAGG
rnacentral:rRNA from 1 species